rnacentral:lncRNA from 10 species
ACUACGCAAUAUCCAGACAUUUCUUCAGAGUUCCUCAACUGCUUUGGUGUUUACUUGAAGCUAAGAAAAUCCUUUCAGACUUUUUCUUUCAAGUCCUCCCACCCACGAUACUAGCACAACUAAGGAACAAACUCCUGGCCUGAAUUUGGCCAUGUUCUCUCAGAACAUUAAGUCUUGAUAAGGAUGACAAUGGAAAGAGGAAAGAAAGAGAGUUCAUUCUUACCAGCAAUGGUUCUUGUGCAACAUUACCCUGUAGUUUUCUCCAAUCAAAAACUUCUGGCACUGCCUUUUCUCUUCUAAACCUGGUUCUCCAAUCCUGUCUUCCUUACAGUCAGUUCCCAACAUCCUUUCAAUAAAUUGUUUUUGUUAUUAAAUUGGCAAGUUUCUGUUGCUAGUCUAAACAGAACCUCAACUGAUACAAUAUGCAAAAAGAAAAAUAAUAUGAACCCAUAAUGAAUUCUCAAAACAUAUUUAAUGAAGAAAUAAUCAAUAUGCUAAUGAAUGAAUAAUCCCUACUCAUAUGUAAGGGUGUAAA